GCCAGGCGUGGUGGCGCAUGCCUGUAGUCCCAGCUACUUGGGAGGCUGAGACAGGAGAAUCGCUUGAACCCAAGAGACGGAGGUUGCAGUGAGCUGAGAUUGUGCCACGGCACUCCAGCCUGGGUGAUAGAGUGAGACUCUGUCUCAA
rnacentral:SRP_RNA from 1 species